GCGUUUGUAGAUGGAAGGAAGAACUUGUGUGCUUAGACCUGACGCUGGGAGGAGAUGCUGCCACCUAGGUUACUUGUAGGACCCUAUACGGCAACCUCCUUUGCCAGGAACUAUUUAUAAACAUCCUGCAGGAAAAUGAGUCAAGGAAGCUUUUCUUUUGAGCUAUUUACAGCUUUUAGCAAUUGAGUAAAGUAUACUCCUGUGAACAAAAUUUGGAACAUAUUUGUUUCUCUCUAACUGAUUUCUCCAGAAUUUGGAACUAGUUAACCAGGAACCCUCUCUUGGGGUGUGGAUCGAGACCCCUUUCUGGUAACGAGAGCACAGCUUGGUUUUAUACAUUUUAAGGAGACAUGAGACAUCAAUCAACGUAUAUAAGAUGAACAUUUUGAUCUGAAAAGGUGGGCCAACUUGAAGCAGGGAUGGGACUUGCGGGCCAUAGGUAGAUAAGAGCAAAUGGUUGCAUUCUUUUGAGUUUCUGAUUUGCCUCACCAAAGGAGGUAAUAGAUAUGCAUUUAUCUCAGUGACCAGAGAGGUGGCUUUGAGUAGAAUAGGAAACAGGUUUGCCCUAAGCAGUUCCCAGCUUGACUUUUCCCUUUAGCCUAGAGAUUUUGGGGUCCCAAUAUUAAUUUUCCUUUCACAUCUUGUUAAUCUGUCUUUUGUUACAGGGAAGUCUCAAUUAAGAAUUAUGAAGGCUAGAGAAAACUAUUUUUUUCUCUCCUACAGUUUUGUAGGUCUUACAGAAUAAUGGAGUGUGUGAGUUAAUCUAGCAGUUAUGUGAAGUGGAGAUUUUUGAAAGACUUUUUAUGUAUAAUUAUCUGUUAAGAGUAGAGAUUAGGCUGGGUGUGGUGGCUCACGCCUGUAAUCCCAACACUUUGAGAGGCUGAAGCAGGUGGAUCACCGGAGGUCAGGAGUUUGAGACCAGCCUGGCCAACAUGGUGAAACCCCAUCUCUACUAAAAAUACAAAACUUAGCCAAGCGUGGCGGUGGCUGCUGUAAGCCCAGCUACUUGGGAGGCUGAGGCAGGAGAAUUGCUUGAACCCGGAAGGCGGAGGUUGUUGUGAGCUGAGAUCAUGCCAUUGGACUCCAGCCUUGGUGACAAGAGUGAGACUCUGUCUCUAAAUAAAUAAAUAAGAGUAGAGAUUAUGUCUUUAAGAUUUCAGGAAGUAUGUCUUGAUGGCCCAGGGAAAGGAAGCAAAGAACGUGGGCAAGAAAGAGUGAGUCAGUACUGUAAAGUGUAGUGGUUAGGGGUAAGAACUCUGGAAUCAGGUUAUUUGGGUUAUGUUCCUGGCUCUGUCAGAGGUGUUUAAACCAGAGUGACUCCAUCUUGAAUAGGGGCUGGGUAAAAUAAUGCUGAGACCUACCGGGCUGCAUUCAAAGGAGGUUAGGCAUUCUUAGUCACAGGAUGAGAUAGGAGGUCAACACAAGAUACAGGUCACAAAGAUCUUGCUGAUAAAAUAGGUUGUGGUAGAGAAGCCAGCCCAAACCCACCAAAAUCAACAUGGUGACGAAAGUGACCUGUGGUCUUCCUGACUGCUCAUUAUAUGCUAAUUAUAAUGCAUUAGCAUGCUAAAAGACACUCCCACCAGCACCAUGAUGAUUUACAAAUGCCAUGACUAUGUCAGGUAAUUACCCUAUAUGGCGUAAAAAAGGGAGAACCCCCAGUUCUUGGAAUUGUCCAACCCUUUCCCAGAAAACUCAUGAAUAAUUCACCCCUUGUUUAGCAUAUAAUCAAGAAAUAACUAUAAAUAUUCUUGGUCAAACAGCCCAUGCCACUGCUGUGCCUAUGGAGUAGCCAUUCUUUUAUUCCUUUACUUUCUUAAUAAACUUGCUUUCACUUUACUGUAUGGUCUCAUCCUGAAUUCUUUCUUGUGUGAAGUCUCAGAACCCUCACUUGGGGUCUGGAUCAGGACUGCUUUCCUGUAACAGCUCCUCUACUUUAAUAAGUUGUGUGAGUUUGGAGAAGUUACUUAAGGCCUCAUGGCCUCAAUUUUCUUAUCUAUGUAGGAUUAUUAUUGCCUGUCCUGAUUUCUCACAGGGUCACUAAAUAAAAUGCUCUUUAAGCAUUAUGUUCUUAUUAAUAUUAUUAUUUGGGGGUGGUAAUACAAGAAGAGGAAGUACAUUAUUAGCACUAGAAACCAAUUUAUUCUCAUGAUAUAGCAAUUUCAUUUUUAAAAUAUCUAGUAUUGGAAGCAUAUGUAAAGGUUAUUUUGUAUCAGCACCCAUUUUAAUACCUGACUUCUUUCUUGUAUCUUAUCAAGUGAAUGAUGAAGUCACCUACUGCCAGAGUAUCCCUGUUUAUUUUUUGGACUACUCUGUUAAUUCAUUUAUGUUCUCAUCAAUGAUUUAUUUAAUGUUUAAUGUAUGUUAAGUGUUAGGCAUAGAAAUAUGACUUGUCCCUGUUCUUGAGGACCGCAAAGCAUAGCUGUAAAUACCAUUUCAUGAAAAGAUAAUUUGAAUACAAUGUAAUAGGUACUACAUUAAGAAUACAUAAAAAGCAGUGUGUGAAUCCAGUGUUUUUCAUUACACCAAAUUGAGCUUAAUAUUCCUAUAACUUCUGACUUAUUCAAUUUUGAUUCCUGUGAAAACAUGGAUUGGUUGUGGCAGAUCGUUUUGGAAUCCAAUGACCAUUCUCUUGUCCUCUUCUUCCUGACUAGUAGAACCUGAAUUGUGUUCAGGCAUUUACUCUCCAGUGUGCUCAGGAAAGGUAACAGUCCCCUUAGUCCAUGGGGUAUAUCAUGAUUAGCCUGCGUUACAAUGGUUGAGGGCAAUUUUUCUUGAAGCUUCUUGGAUGGGUUUUCCAGUUUGAUAAAGGGAGGUACCCCCAUCAUCUUCAACAAUAGUUGUUAUAUCUUCAUGUAAUGCUUGGAAUUGUCUUAGCCAUUUACAAUCAUGCAAAGAGACAUCACAGGAACACCAAGAAUGACAGAAUGGAAAGAUGAUCCUGGUUCCUUUAUGACAUUUUUUGUCCUGCUGAAUUAAGCAACUGUGCAGUAAAGGAUUAACUCGCCAGACUCAGAGUGUUAAAAUUCUGUUCAUUACAAAAAUAAAUAAAUGAAUGAAUAAAUAAAAUAACUGGCCCUGGGGUUUCUGAGGGAUAACUUCUAGUCCCUUGGUAUAUCCUGCUUGAUGAGAGUAUCUUUGUAUACCUGGGGCUUUGGAACACAUAUUAUCAGAUUGGCCUCUGAAAAGACUAGAGAACAAGUAACUAAAGUCAGUCAGGCAAGCACUCUGUGCCUAUGUGACUGACCCGUAAAAAAAAACUCUGGAUACAAAUGCUCAAGUAAGCUUCCUCAGUUGGCAACACUUUGUAUGAAUUGUCACAUAUUAUUGCUGGGAGAAGUAAGCAUUGUCCAUGUAACUCCAAUAGAAGAGGACAACUGGAAGGUAGCACCUGUUUUCUCCAGGACUCUACCCUAUGCACAUUUUUUCUUUACUAAUAUUAAUGUGUAUUAACUUACUGUAAAAAACUAUAACCAUGAAUAUCACCACUUUUCUGAGUUCUGUGAGUCCUAGCAAAUCAUCAAAUCUAAGAAUGAUUUUGCAUCCCUGAAACAACAACCCUGGAAACACCCACCUCCAUAUUACAUAUUAUCUGAAUUAGGGGUGGAACCAUUUCAAACUGUCAAUUCAUACUGAGUUUCUGUGUAGCAAAGUGUAUGAGUUAUGACUAAGCUACAGCCCCUUCUCUGUAGUUAUCAUUAAAACUCAAAUUCAACAGUUUACAUUUAUCUCAUUUUCUGCCAUCUUACCCAGAUCAGACAAGCCUAUCUUUUCAAGUCAGUACCUAUGGGUACUGACUCUGUUACCAGCAUUUUUGUUAUUAUUCCUUCCUCAUUAUUUGCCAAAGUGCAUGAGAUGUCAUCAAUCCUGAUCAAAUCUUUAUGCUUGUAUAUCUUCCAUAAGUUAAAUCCCAUGAGAAUGGAAAUCUUAUAUGUCUUGUUCACAGCCAUCUUCAUACCACUAGAAGCAUACAUAUUUUUGUCAAAAUAGAUAAGAAGAGUUUAUCUCUAGGUAGAUUCUUUUUAACACAUACAUUUACCCUAGCAAUAGUAAUAUAAUUACCCUUCAACAUUCAUGUGCAAUGUAUUGUCUAUUAUAUUGUCUACAACUAGCUAGGAUAAGAACACCUAGGAGUAGAAUGUAUUUAAGAGUUCUUUUCAUGUUUGUGAGAUAAGAAAGAGGGAGGCCUUUUGAAGCAUAAAAAAGAGCCCACAGGGGAAAGGUCUGGCUUGGAAGAUAUAGUAAAAAAUUCUGACUUUCAGUAGCCACAUGACUAUGCUAAGCUUCUGGACAAAUAAGGGAAGAAAAAGGUAGCCAGGGGCAUGUCUACUGAGACAGGAGUAAUUUGAGUGUCUUACUUGCCACCAGUGCAAAACUUAAGGAGGGGUUUUAAAAACUCAAUAAUCAACAUAAAAUAAAAUAUAUUUAAAAAUAUAAUAUAUUUAAAAGUCAAAAUUAAUGCCAAAAAUCAUAAAAAACAGAAUAAAACUAGGAUCAAUAGAAAUGCUAAUCCACUCAUAAUCUAUUCACAGUCCAUAAGUGAGGCACCAAGAGGUCAUGCACACAAUGCUUCCUUGAAUAUUAGACCGAUGAGUUUCCUGGCAUCCUAUUCUCUCUAUCCAUUUGUAGUUUCUGCUUCCUCCUCCCUAACAAAGACUUUCUGAGGAGUUACCUGUGAAUUUAAAUAUACUCUUUUGGAGAUAGGACCAGAUUUCAAUAUGGCUUAGGUGUACCAUCAAACUGAUUAUACCCCAAACACCAGGCUAUGUAUUUUCCUACUUCUCUGUCAUUAAAAUAUGAACACAUCUGCAACAUGAAUUAUUUGAAAUUUAACCAUAUAUUUUAAAUGUUCUUUCAAUACAAUGUUCUUUCAAUACACAAUACAAUGUUCCUUAACUCAUGCACAUGGCAGUAAUCCGUUAUAUUUAGAACAUAUGGCUGCAUUUGAUAUAUCAAAUGUCUUUGGCAAGUGAAGUCAUCCCAGUUUAAUGAAAACUUGUCUGUAAGAUGACAUAGGAGAAAAACAAUAAUUUUCCUCUCAUUCUUCAAUAUAUUUCCUUCAAAUUUAUGUUGAUCUAAGUUGGCCUAAAAUUAAUAUUUUUCUAAAAUAACACAAGUAGUUAAAAUAGUCUUAAAGAAUUUAUGUAUAGGCAUCAAAAGUAUGAUAUUCACAAUUGGAAAGUAAAUUGUUACCACUUUUCUGGGGAGUAUUUUGGUGAUAUAGUUCAGUCUGUUAAAAUGUCCAUUACUUCUGACCCUGAGGAAAAAAUUUGUAAGUCAAUCAGAGUGACUCAAUAUAAUUUAACAUAUUAAGUACACACACACACACACACACACACACACACACACACUCAACUUUUAAUGGUGACAGUGGGUUGCUUUUCUACUCUCUGGAAAAAGUUUAAUUUUGCCCAGGUCAAGGACUAGAAGCUCACCAAACAUGGCACCAUCAUUUCCACCCAAUCUCCAGCAGAUCUAAGUCCCUACUUCCCAGUCACGAGGGUUGAAAGUACUCAGGCUGUUGACCUGCAGGCAGGGGCAGUCGUUUUUCUAUGACCACUUGGUUGGUGAGUUUCUUCCAUCCAGCUUCCUAGUCCUCUGUCCAGAAUAGUUUUCUCUCUCUCUCUUCACAAUUAGUGAAAGAAACCCUGUUCCUCUAAACUUCUUUCUCCCUUGCAUUUGAGUCACCACUCUGCCUCUUCCCCUUCCUCUAGGCCCGAUUUUGUAUAAUCAUUGUGAGGGGUAUAUAUAGAUAUAUAUCGAUAUAGAUAUAUAUAUAGAUAUAUAUAUACAUUAGAUAUAUCUAUAUAUAUAGAUAUAUCGAUAUAUAUCUACCUAAUAGUAUAGGACUGAUAAAAUAAGUUGUAGUAUAUUUAAAUUAAGACUACUAUGAAACCAUUAAAAUAACAUUUUUGAAAUAGUAAAAUAGUUUUGAAAUAAAGAUGAGUUUAAAACCCAAGAUUAAAAAAAUGUAUAAACUACAUGAUUGGAUAAGAAAUACACACAUAAUGACACGGAAAAAGCCAGGAAAGAAGUGCAAUAAAAUAUUAACAAAAGAUGAAAGCAAAUGAUGGGAUUAUUGGUAUUUUUCCUCCUUGUAAUUUCUAAUUUAUCUUUACUGGUUACAGAUUCCCCUUCCCCUUCCCCUUCCCCUUCCCCUUCCCCUUCCCCUUCCCUUUCCCUUUCCCCUUCCCUUUCCCCUUCCCUUCCACACAGUUUCGGUCUCAUUGCCCAGGCUGGAGUGCAGUGCCAUGAUCUCGGCUCACUGCAACCUCCGCCUCCUGGGUUCAAGCGAUUCUUCUGCCUUAGCCUCCUGAGUAGCUGGGAUUACAGGUAUCUGCCACCACACCCAGCUUAUUUUGUAUAUUUUUAGUAGAGAUGGGGUUUCACCAUGUUGGCCAGGCUGGUCUCAAACUCCGGACCUCAGGUGAUCCACCCGUCUCAGCCUCCCAAAGUGCUGGAAUUACAGGCAUGAGCAACCGUGCCCGUCAGCUUAUUUCUUUUAAAAAUCAGAACAAAACUUGGUUUAGAUGUAAGAAAUGUGGAAGAAAAGUAAUGUUUCACCAGAAUCUGAAUACAUGCAUUAUAUAUUAUUCCAUCAAGUGGACAAUUACUUGCUGAAUAAACCUGAUCAUGUACAGAUUCCAAAGUCGAAUUCUGGUUGUACUGAUUCUCUACACUGAAGUUUAAUAGUCUGUGCCCAAGUUCAAAUUUAGAAAGGAUAAACUGGAAAAUUAAUGAUAUUUUAAUGACUGUAUCUUUAUGCAGAGCCUUGUGUGCUACAUACAUUUUACAUACACUCCUGUAGGGGAUGGGCAACCAUUGUAGAACUAUGAGCAGAGAAAUGUUUGCAUAUGAGAUAACUCAGAUGGUAGUGAAGAAUAGUAGGAGAGGCCAGGCUAUGCAGGUGAGGAAGUGGAACCAGCGAGUCCUUUUAAAUUUUGUAAUUUAAUAUUGAACAGAUAUGACAUUGAUAAAUUUUUGUAAAAUUUGAAGAAUAAAACAAAAUAAACAAUCACAUACCUACCUUCCAACACAAGAAAUAGGACAUUGCCAGUUGCUUUGAAGAGUUCCCCGUCCGCUGUUACUCCAAUCCUAUCCCUCCUUUUCUCCACCAGAGGUAGCCACUGUCUUCAAUUUUAUGUUUAUUAUUACUUUGUUAAAAGUUCAACAUAUGUUUCACUUUCACAGUGAACAACUUGUAUGGCUUUUCAAUGGUUUAGUUUUGCAUGUUCUUGAACUUUAUAUAAAUGAAGGCAUGCUUUGUAUUUUCUUCUGUAAUGGGUUUGGUCAUUCAACUUUAAGUUUAUGAGAUAUAUCCAUGUUGAAUUUUGUAGCUGUGGUUUGAUGAUUUUUACAUUAUAUAGUAUUACAUUCCAUGGAUAGUUCUCAGUAGAUAAUCCUCCUAUUGUUUAACAUUUGCGUUGCUUCUCAUUUUGACCUAUUUUAAACAGGCCUCUUUAAAUAUACACUUCUCUGUAGUGUAUGCUAGAAAUGGAGUGGCUGGAAUAAAAGUGGCUGAAUCAUCUUCAACUCUAGUAAGAUGUCAAACUGUUUUCUAAAAGUGUUUUAUUUUAACUAUUAUAUGUCAAUUUUGAACAGCUCUUUCACUUACUAGCAAUUUAUUAUCAGCAACACUUGUUAUUGUCAGACUUUUAAGUUUUCAUUCACUGGGUAACAUGACAUCUUUUUGUGGUUCUAAUUUGCAUUUCCAUGCCUACUAAUGAAUUUGAGCUUGUUUUAGUACAAUUAUUGGUCAUUUUUAUUUCCUCUGCUGUGAAAUGCCUGUUCAGGAUUUGUUCAUCUUUUUUUAAAAUAGUUUGCAAAUAUGUUGCCUAGCUUGUGGCUUGACUUUUCAGUUUCUUCAGUAUUACAUUUGAUAAAGAGAAGUUCUUAAACUUCAAUGUGAUCAUAUUUAUGUUUUGCUCAUUUAAAAAAACCUGGUUAAAUAUUUCACAAAUCGACAUUAUGAUAUAUUAUCUUCCAAAAUUUUAAUAAUUUUGUCUUUUUUCACAUUUUAGUCUUUAGCUCAGCUGGAAUUCAUUUCUGUGUGUGGUGUGAGAUAAGUCUUUUUCAUGUUUUUCCCUAUGAAAUAAAUUAUUUCCUUCUGUAUUGCAGGUAGCUGAGACCAAUGAUGCUGACCUCCCUCAAAAGCUGCAUUUCUGAAUUUCUGAAGGCAAACUGUCUGCCUAUAUUGUACAGCAAAAUAAUUUCCUGUAUUAAAACGUUUUUAUUGCUCUAAAUUUCUAGAUUAAACUCUGCUUAGGUAUUGCUAAGAGGGUAGCCAAGUAUAGAAACUUAAAUUUACUGACAGAAAUCUAGAGAAUGCUUAAUUUUUUUUCCAGCAGUGAAGUAGAAGAGACAGGGAUAUCCCAGAAGGUUAUGCAAAACAUCAAGAGAAGAUGAGAGGAGUCUAUAUGUCAGAAUACACAUUUCCCACCUUGCCCAACAGUAGAAAAACAUAAGAAGAGAAAAACAUUAAAAAAUGACAAGGAAGUUAAUGGAAGUCAGCAAUGUGAUGGUGUUUGGAGGUGGAGCCUUCAGAAGGUAAUUAAUGCCCUUGUAAGAAGAGGCCAGAGAGCUUGCGCACCUUCUUCCUGCCAUGUGAGGAGCCAAGAAGCCGGCUGUCUGCAACCUGCAAGAGGACCCUCACUAGAAGCUAGCCAUACUGGCAUCCUCAUCUUGGCUUUCCAACUUCCAGAACUGUGAGAAGUAUAUGUUUGUGGUUUAGUCAAUGGUCUAUGGUAAUUUUUUUAUAGCAGUCCCAGCCAAGACAGUGCCUCAUUUACUACAUACCAUUUAUAUUAUUAUAUAGGCUCCUUUCAGAAACCCAUGUUCAAAUAAGAGAUAAGAUACUGAAACACAUAACACCUUCACUAGUUUUUAGUAUACAAAUAUUGAGAAAUAGUUUGUUAUUAACUAUCUCAUCCAAGAAAUGCAGAUUCAUGUUGUUUCUAAUUUUUUAUAUAUAAUUGACAAAAUGAAGAAACUUAACACCAUCCUAGAUUUUAGCUGCCCAAAGAAUGAAAAGAAUGAAAAAAAAAUCUUUGAAAACCCACAAGUGAUAUGGAUCUAAUUUAUGGUUAAAUAGAUAUAGAUAACAAACAGAAUACGCCUGUUUAAAACUGUUAAAAUGACAUUGGUUCUAAUUAUACUUUUAUUUAAAUUGAAAGACAAGGCAUUUAUAUGGUAUCUCUAACCAUCACAACUUUUGUGUGACAAAAAGAAAUUAUCACCAAAAUACACCUCCUUAAGUAAGUGUCUGAUUUCACACUUCCAGAAAAAGUGCUCUUUCUGGUCAAGCCAGCAAGAAUUGAGAAAGAUUAAGAAAGUGCUUCAAAGAUGUUUAUUAAAAAGUUGUCAUAAAAAUGUGAAGUAGAUGUAGCAUCAAGCAUACCAAAUAAAGUAAAACUGUCAUCAAGAAGAUUCAACAGCUAUGAAAAGAGUUCUUCAAAAUAUGAUAUGUUUUUCUAGAUGAUAAUAAAAUUUAUCAAUUCCAAAUGUCCACAUUAGUCUUUCAUAAAGACACCAAUGAGUCACAGGAAAAAAAAUUAAAAAUAAAAAAACCCUAUCUCAGGGAAUCAUGCUAACAACCUGAUGUGUUUUCUUCCACAUAUUUAUGUCUGCUUAUAAGUAUUUACAAACAUAUAUUCGCAUAUAUGCAUUUUGAAUUUUUUCUGUUGCUGCACUUAAAUUUUUUUCAUAAUAAAACAAGACUCCUGCAAUUUGCUUUUUUAGGUAGACUAUGUAUCCCUGACAACCAUCCAGGUCAGCUUGAUGAUUAACACAUUUGUUUUAAUAGCUACAUAGUAUUCUAUAAGUAUGAUUUAUUCAAGUGUGUGUGUGUGUGUGUGAGAGAGAGAGAGAGAGAGAGACAGAGACAGAAAAAGAGAGACAGAGGAGGAUAUUCAGGGGUUCUGUCCACUACAACAUUUUGUCACAGGCAACAGUGCUGAAAUGAAAACACUUGAACACAUAUUUUUAUGAUUUUACUUUUUAUGAUUUUCAAAAGUGUGUUUGCAAGGUCAAAGAAUAGAUGUGUUGCUCUUAAUAAAUAUCAAAAGAUUAUUUACUACUACCCAAAUUAUACUGUAAUUUCUUCUUGAACCGUUUAAUUUGUAUCCUCCUAUCAGUGAGGUUGAGAAAUAUUUUAUGCUUACUGACUUUUGCAAUAUUUCUUUCACGAAUUAUUGCCAUUUUCUAUUGUCCAUUUUUCUGUUAGGCUCUAUGAUUAGCUUAUUAGGCUUUGUGGUUUAUAUGCAUCAGAAAGAGUAAGACUUAAUUUUGUGUGGAACAAAUACCCUGGUGUAGCAUGUUUCAUUAGAAUUUGUUUAUAGAGAUAUUUGCCAUAGAAAAGUUAUUUUUUAUUAGUAAAGAAUGCUUUGUAUUUCCUUUGUGGCUUCUAAGUACCCUUUUUUGGUUAUUAUACCUUUAUCCAUAAGUAUCUUUAAAUAUUACAAAAAUUACAUAUUCUUUUAAAUAUUUUAAAGAUUUAUUAUAUUCAUUUAGGUUUUAAUCCACUUUUAAUUUUUUAGAUGAAAAGUAAGAGAAAAGUAUAUAAAUCAUGAGCACAAAUUGAACUAACCAAGGUAACAAUCAAUCUGCUCAAGAAAUUGAGCAUCACCACCACCUCCUCCUGCACUGUCCAAAUCAGCACCCCAGUACUCCAAAGCAAAUGUUACUCACUACACUGACUUCUAACACAAUAGACUUGUUUUGUCUGUUUUCAACUAUACAAAAAUGAAUCAUAGAGUAUGUGUUGUUUUGUAUUUGGCUCCUUUCACUAAAAUUUUGGUUUAUAAAAUUCAUCCAUGUGGUUGAACACAGUUGUAGAUUGUUCAUUUUAAUUGUUUUACAGUAUUUAUUGUGUGACUAAAACACUACUUAUUUAUUCUAUAAUUGACAGACUUUGGGUUGCUUUUGCUUUGGGAGUAUAAACAUUUUUAUAUCUAUGCUUUAGGUACAUGUUCAUGAAUUUGUGCUGAAUAAUUACUUGAGUGUGAAAUUGUUAUGUUAUGCGAUAUAUAGUAGUCAAAUAUAGAAGAUAAUGCAAAACAAUUUAAAGUGAUUGUAGCAGUUUGCUGUAUUCUACAGCAGCAGAUUGUAGCAGAUUACUGUAUUCUACAGCAGCAGCAUGUGAGAUUGCCAGUUGCUCAAAUUCGUGCCAAUACUUGGUAUUUUUUAUCUUUUAAUUUUAGACAUUCUGGAGAGUGUGUAGUAAUUUUUCAUCUUGGAAAAUUACAUUAAAUUAGUAUCCAUUUCUCUAAUUUUGAUAACAUUUUCAUAAGUUUAUUGUUAUUAGAUAUUUUCUUUAUUUUGAAGUGCUUAUUGUCCAUUUUACAUUGGGUCAUCUGUUAUUGAAUUGUAAACAUUCCUUGAAUAUUUAAAUAUGAGUGCUUGGUCAGUUUUUGUCACAAAUAUCCUCUUUUUUCACUUUUUGCCCUUUUAUUAUUCUGAAAAUGCCAAUUGAUUAAAAUUAAUUUUACUAUUGUUCAAUAUAUCAUGCUUUGUUUUUUCACAGUGUGUUUUGUGUCCUGUUUAAGAAUUCCUUCUCUCAUUUGGCAUUCAUUUGGCAUUCAUUUGGCUUGGCAAAAUUGGCG
rnacentral:lncRNA from 1 species